rnacentral:misc_RNA from 1 species
GAUGAAGAACGUAGCGAAAUGCGAUAAGUAGUGUGAAUUGCAGAAUUCCGUGAAUCAUCGAGUCUUUGAACGCACAUUGCGCCCCCUGGUAUUCCGGGGGGCAUGCCUGUCCGAGCGUCAUUGCUGCCCUCAAGCACGGCUUGUGUGUUGGGCCCCGUCCUCCGAUCCCGGGGGACGGGCCCGAAAGGCAGCGGCGGCACCGCGUCCGGUCCUCGAGCGUAUGGGGCUUUGUCACCCGCUCUGUAGGCCCGGCCGGCGCUUGCCGAUCAACCCAAAUUUUUUAUCCAGGUUGACCUCGGAUCAGGUAGGGAUACCCGCUGAACUUAAGCAUAUCAAUAAGCGGAGGA